rnacentral:rRNA from 1 species
UACAGAGGUCUCAAGCGUUGUUCGGAUUCAUUGGGCGUAAAGGGUGCGUAGGCGGCGCGGUAAGUCAGGGGUGAAAUCCUGGAGCUCAACUCCAGAACUGCCUUCGAUACUGGCGAUCUCGAGUUCGGGAGAGGUGAGUGGAACUGCGAGUGUAGAGGUGAAAUUCGUAGAUAUUCGCAAGAACACCAGUGGCGAAGGCGGCUCACUGGCCCGAUACUGACGCUGAGGUGCGAAAGCGUGGGGAGCAAACAGG